UUUCUUUCAGUUUCAGCUGACUUUUGAAGAGAAAUGUUUUUGCCUCAGAGUUUUCGGAAACAUCUCCUUGAUAAAGAAACAUUUGAAAAUCAAGUGGAAGCUUCAGAACUAGGUGACUCCAAUGUGAUCAAAACCGAAAACAGCUGGAACUAACCGUCCUUAAACUGGCAUGCUGGAGAUGGGUGUGGCUACACUACAGGUAAUAGUCAUGGGAAAGAUCAAGGCGGAGUCACCUUCAGGUACAGAAUUUCACAGACUGCUCAGUCUCUAGAUGAGGGGAGUACCUUCAGGAAAGAGCUUUAAAAUCUAAUUUUCCAUUAAGGUACAUAUUGAUUGAUUUUAUAUUGAUUUAUUGAUUGUGGAUUUCAUUCAUUCGUGUAUUUGUUUAUUCAUUCAAAAACCAUAUCUGAGUGCCUGUCUGCCAUGUAUCAGGCCUGGGCAAGACUUUGGUAUUAGCACAGUAACCAAGCCAGGCAGGAUCUCUGACCUCCGGGAGCAUGUAUUUGAGAGAAAGCCAAUAAAACAACCAAUAAAUAAAUAAGUAGACUGUGAUAAAUGCCAUAAAGCAGAUGGAUAACAUGGUAUGGUGUUAAUAAUCAAGCUAGGCAUCCUGAAAUAACAAGUUGCCCAGCUUUGGUUUUCUAAUGCUUUACUUUCUGUACCUUCCCUAACUCACCUUUAAAAUAAGUCAUCAGACAAUCACUGUAUUUGUGCUUUUGUUAUUGCAAAUAAACUGGCCCCCUCACUAUCU